UAGGGAAUCUUCCACAAUGGGCGCAAGCCUGAUGGAGCAACGCCGCGUGAGUGAAGAAGGUCUUCGGAUCGUAAAACUCUGUUGUUAGAGAAGAACAUGCAGGAGAGUAACUGUUCUUGUAUUGACGGUAUCUAACCAGAAAGCCACGGCUAACUACGCGCCAG
rnacentral:rRNA from 1 species